GCAAGUCGUGGGAGAUGCGCUUGAGGAGGGCGCUGUGCCAGGGGGUCUGGGCCUCACGGCAUGGGCAGCAUUCACACGCUGCGACAGUGCCCACCGUACCCUGCACCCGGGCCGGCUGCUGCUUCGCCGUGGCACUCCACAAAACGCCGUAACAGCCAUCAGGCCCUGCCCCGGGUGGGAGCACGGAGGGAGCCUCGCACCCGCUGUGCAGGCGGAAACCCACCUGCAGUGGGGAGGGCUAGGAGAGGCCUGGAGGAUGCCAGGCAGCGGGUGGCGCCACUGUGCAGGCUCCCAGGAAGGACCCGUGGUGGGAGCAGACCCGUGGAGGGGUUGAGGUGGGAGUGGGGGAGGAGGCUGGGAACCUGUGGCCCGGGACCUGUGGCCAGGUGAUCAAGGAGCUCGGACUUCAUCCUAAGGACAGUGUGGCGCCAAAGGAGGGUUUGAUGCCAGCUGAGACCUGCUCAGAUGAGGGUUUUGGAGAGCUGCCGGGCGCCAAACAGAGUGGAUGGGAGAGCAGGACUGGGGGUGGGGAUGGUCAGAUGUCCACCCAGAGGCCCUGAGCUAGAAGAGGUUGGGGCAGAGGGUAGGGAAGGGGGUGGGCUGGGUAUUCGCAGUUUGCUGCCCAGACCUGCCCUCCUCCCUUUCCACCCUCCCAGUGCUCCCGGACAGACAGCCCCAUCCCCCACCCACCGCUGGCUUCCUGGUGAGUCUGGCCUCCUGCCCAGAGGUUGGGGAAUUUCCCCAGCUCCCUUCCUGCUGGGCGAAGACCUGUCCUCUCCCUGUGAACUUUCCUACCCUCUCAGGGCUCUAGGACCAGCCCCUACCCAGGACCCUUACCACCCUCUGGUUCGACCCACCCAUUGUUGCCACUUUGGUAAAUGGCCCUUCAUAAAAGUCCUUUUCUCUCUUUGCCUCUUUCUCCUGCCAGGACCCUGACUUCCUCCAAGGUGAGGGAGCGGGGAGACAAGGAUGGUGCCCAGUGGUCACCUGAGCCACUGCUGCCACUGGGAAACAGGUGAACAGGCCAGGAGGGCGGUUGUGUAGGGUCAGCAGUUAAAUUUGAUCCAGUGUCAUGGAGAGACCUGAGGACACUCUGGAACCAAUUCUGAAGUCCAUGAGGAAAAUAAAGGUUCAAGAAUAAAGAACCCAAAAAGACUUGAACGGACAUGUCUCCAAAGAAAAUGCACCAGUGACCAACAAACAGCACAUGGAAAGAUGCUCAGCAUCGUUUGUCACGGGGAAAUGCAAAUCACACCCUCGGUGAGGUAACACCUCACACCCACUGGGAUGGCUACUAUCAAAAAAAAUCCAAAAAAAGAAAAUAAACCGGGGCCUUUCAGCCACCAGUGGAGAGGGAGCACUCUUGAUCUCGGCGGGGAGGGGCCGGGCCCAGUUUUCAGCCCAGGAGAUGUGAGGGG
rnacentral:lncRNA from 1 species